rnacentral:rRNA from 1 species
GCUAGUAAUGGCAGGUCAGCAUACUGCCGUGAAUACGUUCCCGGGCCUUGUACACACCGCCCGUCACACCAUGAGAGUUGGGAAUACCCGAAGCCUGUGAGCUAACUGUAAGGAGGCAGCAGUCGAAGGUAGAAUCAAUGAUUGGGGUGAAGUCGUAACAAGGUAAC